UACGUAGGGUCCAAGCGUUGUCCGGAUUUAUUGGGCGUAAAGAGCUCGUAGGCGGUUCCGUAAGUCGGAUGUGAAAACUCGGGGCUCAACCCCGAGACGCCAUCCGAUACUGCGGUGACUUGAGUCUGGUAGGGGAACACGGAAUUCCUGGUGUAGCGGUGAAAUGCGCAGAUAUCAGGAGGAACACCAAUAGCGAAGGCAGCUCGCUGGGACGUUACUGACACUGAGGCGCGAAAGCGUGGGGAGCGAACAGG
rnacentral:rRNA from 1 species